rnacentral:tRNA from 1 species
GGCCGUGUGGCUCAAUGGCAGAGCGUCUGACUACGAUUCUUGUGUUCCAUGCGAUCACGUCUAAUCAGAAGGUCGCAGGUUCGACCCCUGUCUCGGUCA